rnacentral:lncRNA from 1 species
GGCCAGGACUGCCUCCCUAAACAAGCAAGCAGGGGCGCAUACAGCCCUGGUUUGAGUUGUUGCCCUUAAUCAUCUGGCCACAGCAGGAAUAAGAGGCUCCCGGAAAACCCUGGCUCUUGGCUAUCUCUUCCAUGAGCACACCCUGGCCCUGGGGCCUGAGAUCUCUCCAUGCAGAGGCAGCCAUGAACUGCGGGGGCAGCAGCAAGGCUGGCCACACCACCCACCCCGCCACCUCCGGCCCCGCCGCUCAACCAGCCAUCAGUCCCUUAACUGCGAGUGUUCGUGGACCAUAGAAAACAACCAAAUCCCAGCCAGCCUAGAAGCAGGCUCACAGUUUUCCAUGGAGGGCUUGGAUAGUAAACUGAUCCUGGAUGUUGGCGGCAUAUGCCACCUGAUCUACAUCAGCACCAUGAGGGCCUUUCCAGGAGGAAGAGAAGGGACCCUCUCAGGUCUAACUUCAAAUCAAGCCACUGGGUUGUCUGAGGAAGUAUCCCAAGCAACUAGUCUGGACUGGGAGGUUGAAUUGAGCCCUUGCUGUUGCUGAAGCUGUGAGAA